GAAGACUGGAGUAAUAUACACAUUUUGUUUUUGUUUAUUAAUUUGUCUUAUUAUACGGAUGCUUAUUGGGUGUACUUCAGAACUUGUCAAGAGCGCUAGUUAACAUUGCCUCAAAACUCACACACACCAAGGAUGUCCGAGAUCUGUUCAUCGACCUUGUGGAGAAGCAGGUGUGGGUCAACAGCAGGGGAGUACUAUUG
rnacentral:lncRNA from 1 species